AUUGAACGCUGGCGGCAGGCCUAACACAUGCAAGUCGAGCGAGCGGCGGACGGGUGAGUAAUGUCUGGGAAACUUCCUGAUGGAGGGGGAUAACUACUGGAAACGGUAGCUAAUACCGCAUACCAUCAGAUUUGCCCAGAUUGGAUUAGCUCGUGGGUGGGGUAACGGCUCACCUAGGCGACGAUCCCUAGCUGGUCUGAGAGGAUGACCAGCCACACGGGAACGGAGACACGGUCCAGACUCCUACGGGAGGCAGCAGUGGGGAAUAUUGCACAAUGGGCGCAAGCCUGAUGCAGCCAUGCCGAGUGUGUGAAGAAGGCCUUCGGGUUGUAAAGCACUUUCAGCGGGGAGGCGUUAACCGCAGAAGAAGCACCGGCUAACUCCGUGCCAGCAGCCGCGGUAAUUC
rnacentral:rRNA from 1 species